GUCACUAUGCUUCAAAAGUCGCCCUCUCACGGCGAAAACAGGGGUUCGAUUCCCCUUGGGAGCGCCA
rnacentral:tRNA from 1 species